rnacentral:rRNA from 1 species
CGCGGCCUAUCAGCUUGUUGGUGGGGUAAUGGCCUACCAAGGCGGCGACGGGUAGCCGGCCUGAGAGGGUGUACGGCCACAUUGGGACUGAGAUACGGCCCAGACUCCUACGGGAGGCAGCAGUGGGGAAUAUUGCACAAUGGGCGCAAGCCUGAUGCAGCGACGCCGCGUGGGGGAUGAAGGCCUUCGGGUUGUAAACUCCUUUCGCUAGGGACGAAGCUUUUUGUGACAGUACCUAGAUAAGAAGCACCGGCUAACUACGUGCCAGCAGCCGCGGUAAUACGUAGGGUGCGAGCGUUGUCCGGAAUUACUGGGCGUAAAGGGCUCGUAGGUGGUUUGUCGCGUCGUCUGUGAAAUUCUGGGGCUUAACUCCGGGCGUGCAGGCGAUACGGGCAUAACUUGAGUGCUGUAGGGGUAACUGGAAUUCCUGGUGUAGCGGUGAAAUGCGCAGAUAUCAGGAGGAACACCGAUGGCGAAGGCAGGUUACUGGGCAGUUACUGACGCUGAGGAGCGAAAGCAUGGGUAGCGAACAGGAUUAGAUACCCUGGUAGUCCAUGCCGUAAACGGUGGGCGCUAGGUGUGAGGGUCUUUCUACGACUUCCGUGCCGUAGCUAACGCAUUAAGCGCCCCGCCUGGGGAGUACGG